UACGGGGGGGGUAAGCGUUGUUCGGAAUUACUGGGCGUAAAGGGCUCGUAGGCGGCCAACUAAGUCAUACGUGAAAUCCCUCAGCUUAACUGGGGAACUGCGUGUGAUACUGGAUGGCUUGGAUUUGGGAGAGGGAUGCGGAAUUCCAGGUGUAGCGGUGAAAUGCGUAGAUAUCGGGAGGAACACCGGUGGCGAAGGCGGCCCCCUGGUUGGAUACUGACGCUGAGACGCGAAAGCGUGGGGAGCAAACAGG
rnacentral:rRNA from 1 species